rnacentral:rRNA from 1 species
CCUGAGAAACCCAAAAGAUCGAAUGGGGAGAUUCAUCGUCAGCGAUUCUGGUACGUGUGCGGUUCGCGAUGCCGGAGACUUCGGUCUCAUUGCACGCGUCCGCAUGUUUUUUAUUGCCGGGAUCGUCGGCGUGCACUUCUCCCCUAGUAGGACGUCGCGACCCGUUGGGUGUCGGUCUACGGCCCGGGUGGUAGCCUGUCACGUGUGCGCUUCACGGUGUUACGCGGGGCAGACCCCCGGUUGCCUGACCGGCUGCCCGGCGGUACUCGCACGGUAUCUGGCCGCAAAUAUUCGAACUGCGUCCGGCCCGUCGCAAGCGAGGCAAGUGUUUCCCGGCUGUACGGAUCUAAUGCCGUCACCGGGCCUUGCCAGCUGUUGGUUGACGGUGUCCUAGGACUGGCUAAUAAAAUUAUGAUACCGGUCGGCGACGCUACUGCUUUGGGUACUUUCAGGA